CAAUCUGAAUUCCAAUUUUUUGACAAAGUAAUUCAAUCCGAUUCCAUCCCAUUUCUCCCGACAUUCCUAGCAUAAGCAAAUCAAAAGAUUUUCUAGACUUCACAUAAUUAAACCUCUCCAGUACCUCCGUGAUGAAGUGUAAAUGAAAAGCACUACAUUUUACAUCAAAAUAUUUUGGUUUGGAAUAGAUUGAAUCUAUCCGAAUAGCGAACACUCGAAUUUCAAUUUCUAUAAAAAUUGGCUACAACAUUCAAAGCCACUCAACGCUUGAUGAGUUGUAGAUUAACGGUGAUAAAGACUUUGUUUCGUUCAACUUAUUAUAUGCAUUUUCCUUUUCCUAAAAUUAUCUGAUUUUAUUUUAACCUAAUUGUGUCUAGUGUAUAACAAAGGAAAAAAAAAAAAAAAAAAACUUUUCUGAUUCUAAAUUGUGUGUAAGGAUUCUCUAUUAUCUAAUGUUAAUCGUUAGUUUGAUUAUCAGUAUAGUCAAUUUAGGGUUCUUCUAAGCUGGAUUAUUCAACUAUUGGUUACAAUUACUCUUAACAACUUAUGAAGGAUUAUAACAAUCGAUUUCGUUGCUAGAAUAUUGCUUUUCAUAUUCUUAAACUAGAAUUUAAUUCGAACCUAAUUUGAUGAUUGAAUCAAAUUUGAUUGCUUAUGUGUUGGAAGCUUUUGUUUAUAUCAUAUAAUCCUUUAAUGUUAGGACAGAACUGUGUGUAAUCUAUUGUCGUCGUAUAUUUCUUAUUGAGAUUCUGGAUUUGUUAGUGACAGGUUUGAAGUCAUAAUUCUUUUUUUCCUCCAACAUUGUUAGUGCUGAAAAUCUAAGUAAUUGAAAGAACAAAAAUCAAAUGUCUUUCACUAAGCUCGGAAAAUCCUUACCCUUUAUUUGGAUUUUGAGGAAGCUGGAGCAAGAUGUGGAAACUGUAAUAAGGGUACUGCAGCCUGGGCCAGUAGGAAUUGUGGAGCAUAAAUUUACAGAUAAAGAAAUACAUGAUGCAAAUGCUAUGUUUAAAAAUGCAGUGAAGAAUUGGCAAAGGAGAGCAUUAUUGGAGAAAAGUGGUGUUGUGAAAGAUUACGUGGAGUUUUGAUAGGAAUCUAUACAUAGUUUAAAGUCUUGGAAUGUGUUUAAAUUGUCAAUUCUGAAAAAGUCUGUAGUAUCUUGUUAGGGUUUUACAUGAAGGAUCGUCAUUUAUUGAUAUUAAGAUCUUGCAAUGAGAUUUGCUGAUCCUUGACAGCGUGUAAUUCUGAAUUGAAAUAAAUUGAACUACCCCAUUCUGGCGUUACUGAGAUGAGCAUUUUAUUCGUACUAUAUAUAAGUUCUUCAGUUUUGAGCGGAGAAAACAAUUAGGAACAUGCAAACUGAUGUCAACAUAUUGGUGCCAAGAUGGCUGGCUGAUCAAGUUUUACAGCUGCUGUGGGCUUGUAGCAUUUUAUGUUAGUAAGAAGUCAAUAUGUUCCCAGUGAUGCCUGGAGUUCAGCAGAUCUGAUAUCCUUCAUCGAUAAGGGUCAAUAUAUACUGGUAUGUUUAAGUUUCAAGUUAGCGGGAAUGCAAUCUGCUAAUCGAUACAGUAGUCAUGUCAUGUGACCAAUAAUUUUGGGAUGGAGUACAACUAUUUUGUGGAUGUUAUCUUUAUUUCAGACAUCUUACAAUAGUAUUUGUGACUAUUCAUACGAAAGAGAGACUAAUUAGAGCAUAUAAGCUGGCGAUAUGCAUUGUCAUUUAUUCUUUCCUGACAUCUGUAACAAGUACAAUUAUAGUACUAGACAGAUGGUUACCAGUUACUUUUUUGAAGGAUAAGGCUGUGGGGAGGGGGAGAUAUUAAGUAAUAAACAUAUGCUUAUUGUAUUGCUAAAUGGUAAUAGAUUCACUAUUUAAUGCUGUUAUAAGUAGGUAACUAUAGUUUGAUAUUUAAAAUUAAAGUAGUUAUGCUGCUUUUUCCCUGCCAUUUACCUGGGUAGGUCUGAUUGCUGUGUCAUACAUGCUAAUGUUAGUUAACUUCUGAACAAGUGAUCCUUUUCCAUAGAAAUUAGAAUCUACCGCUUAAUGUGCAAUUGGUAGAAUUUUCAUAUUUGCUGAUUUGUACUUCAGGUCUGGUUGUUUCAUAUUUUAAUUUAUUUUGAUUUAUUAAACUAUUUUCGACGAAAUAAGUUCAGAUAUGUCAAUAUAACCCCAUAGACAAAAUAAGUUCAAACAAGUUAAUGUAAGGUCUAAUAAUUUUAGAUAAGUUUAAAUAAACUCAAAUAAGUUCAAUAAGAUGAAAAGCUCAAUUAAGGGAAAAUAAGCUAAGAGAAGUUUAAACAAAACAAGCUUAGAUAAAUUUCAGAUAAAAUGUCUCACAAAUUAGACA